GGUUUGCAGCCCUCAUUGCGUUUGCGUUGAUGGGUCGUUUUGUUCAUAUCCGUUCAGGAACUGUCCCUAUCUCUGCUCUUAUAAGGUUGCUGCAUUCCUCUCUCAAAGCUUAUGGACACGUGAUGGAUCGAUCGUGCUAGUCUAUUGUCUAUAGGAUUAUUGCAUUAAUAACCAAGUGACCGACCACAGUCCAUAGGCAGCUUUUGUGCAUUUUUCUGAUUUCUGGCCUGUUUAGUACAUUGGUUAGAGACGUUAAAGUUUAAUAGAUAUUGUAGUAUUUUUGUUUCGUAAAUUAUUUUCUAGCUAUAUUUUAAGUUUCGUAAAUAAUCUAUGUUUAGUAUUUUAUGUAUAUAUCUAAAUAUUUGAUGUAACGAGAGACCUUCCUCUUGGCUGUUACCGUGUCAAAUUUGUCUCAUGAGUAAGGUUGGAUAACGAGCCGGCUCAGCUCGGCUCGUUCUGGCUUGUUAGGAUAACGAGCUAGCUCGGCUCCGCUUGUUAUCUUAACGAGCCAGAAAGCCAGCUCAACUCGGCUCGUUAAAAGCUCGAACUGGCUUGUUAAGCUCGCAAGUCAGGUAUAAAAGUACAUAAAUUAUAACAUUUGUAUUUAUCUAAGCUUAAAAAUAGUUAUAAUACAAUAAUAAUAUAUUCAAUAGUCUUAAUUUUAACAAAAUAUUCAUAUGAGCUAAAGUAUUAACUAUUUAUAAAGUGUAAGACAUGAAGGAGUAUAAAACUAUUGUAAGUUAUUUUUUUGUCUAAUAAUCUGUCUUCGACUUCCGAUUGAACUAACUAGCUUCUAUUUUUUUUUUUUUGGGUCCAGACUUACUCUAAGGUUUGAGGCUCCCACUCCCAUGGGCCAUGAUCUUGCGAGCGGGCCGGAAUUUUGGCGUCCCGGAGAAGAGAGGCAAAGGCGGCGCAGGGGUGGGGAAACGGAAUCCGUCGUGACUAGCCGAAAGGCCGUGUGACGCGGCGAUUCUGCGGCCCAUCAAUUUGCAUGGGCUAUUCAACAAUAUCUUCGUUUCGGGCUUGCGUACCAGGCCGGCUUCGGCCCCGCCGGGGCGGCGUUUGGCCGGCCCACGGUAACGGGCACGGCGCCGCAUACAGUCGACCUGGCCGCCGGUCCUCUAGAUCCGCAGCACCGCAAACCCGCCACCGCCGGUAGGUACCGCAACGUUCUUCUACAGAAACUCGGCGUCGUCGUUUGUGGCAUCCGUCGUCGCCAUCGUGAUCGUGCCGGUGCUGACGCAGGGAGCUAGCGCUGCUGGUGGCCGGCUCGGAGUCGGACAUGCCUCU
rnacentral:lncRNA from 1 species